rnacentral:lncRNA from 1 species
AUGUAUGUUUCAAUGUUUUAUAGGAAUGAAUAUUUCCUACAUAAUUGGCUGAAUUGGAUUCUGCAACCAAAUGUAAAUGUGUCGAAAUUACCCGAUGGUUGUGGAAACUCGAGGCCCUCCCCAGAUGCUGGAGCCUUGCUCUUGGACUUCUUAGCCUCCAGAACUCUACUCGAUGAGAGAGUUCAACUCUCUCACUGAAGACCUGAAGUUUAAUCUAUCACAGCUCUAUAACCGAGGUAUGUCAUUCUUAAGCCCAUUAAGAAUAUUUACAUAACUAUCCAUUUCUAGAGCUAGCAAACUUAACUGAUAUGCUUGACCCAUGUUCAUUUUGAGGCACAACUAUAGAGAUACUUUUAAAGUUUUUAGAGUUUCUUGCUAAUCCAAUUUUUCCCCAUGGAGUCAGGAGUAGUGAGAAGCUUUGAAUUAAAGCUUUCUAUAGCUUUAAUUACAUAGUAAAUCAUUUUAAUUUGAGCUCACAGAUUAUGUUGGUGUGC